AACCUCCGCAAUGUGAGAAAUCGCGACGGGGGGAUCCCAAGUGCCAUUCUUAACGGGAUGGCUUUUCAUUAGUGUAAAGAGUUUUUGGAAUAAGAGCUGGGCAAGACCGGUGCCAGCCGCCGCGGUAACACCGGCAGCUCUAGUGGUAACAAUUUUUAUUGGGCCUAAAGCGUCCGUAGCCGGUUUAAUAAGUCUCUGGUGAAAUCCUGUAGCUUAACUGUGGGAAUUGCUGGAGAUACUAUUAGACUUGAGACCGGGAGAGGUUAGAGGUACUCCCAGGGUAGAGGUGAAAUUCUGUAAUCCUGGGAGGACCGCCUGUUGCGAAGGCGUCUAACUGGAACGGUUCUGACGGUGAGGGACGAAAGUUAGGGGCGCGAACCGGGAUUAGAUACCCGGGUAGUCCUAACUGUAAACGAUGCGGACUUGGUGUUGGGGUGGCUUUGAGCUGCUUCAGUGCCGAAGGGAAGCUGUUAAGUCCGCCGCCUGGGAAGUACGGUCGCAAGACUGAAACUUAAAGGAAUU
rnacentral:rRNA from 1 species